rnacentral:rRNA from 1 species
GCGGUCGCCUCCCAAAAGGUAACGGAGGCGCUCAAAGGUUCUCUCAGUACGGUCGGAAAUCGUACGUAGAGUGUAAAGGCAAAAGAGAGCUUGAUUGCAAGACAUACAGGUCGAGCAAGGAUGAAAAUCGGACUUAGUGAUCCGGUGGUUCUGCGUGGAAGGGCCAUCGCUCAACGGAUAAAAGCUACCCUGGGGAUAACCGGCUUAUCUCCCCCAAGAGUCCACAUCGACGGGGAGGUUUGGCACCUCGAUGUCGGCUCAUCACAGCCUGGGGCUGUAGUAGGUCCCAAGGGUUGGGCUGUUCGCCCAUUAAAGUGGUACGCGAGCUGGGUUCAGAACGUCGUGAGACAGUUCGGUCCCUAUCCGUCGCAGGCGUAGGAAAUUUGAGAAGACCUGUCCUUAGUACG